AGCGAACGCUGGCGGCAGGCUUAACACAUGCAAGUCGAGCGGGCAUCCUUGUGGUGUCCGCGGCAGACGGGUGAGUAACGCGUGGGAACGUGCCCUUCGGUUCGUAAUAACUCAGGGAAACUUGAGCUAAUACCGGAUACGUGCGAGAGCAGAAAGGUUUAUCUGCCGAAGGAUCGGCCCGCGUCUGAUUAGCUAGUUGGUGAGGUUAUGGCUCACCAAGGCGACGAUCAGUAGCUGGUCUGAGAGGAUGAUCAGCCACACUGGGACUGAGACACGGCCCAGACUCCUACGGGAGGCAGCAGUGGGGAAUAUUGGACAAUGGGGGCAACCCUGAUCCAGCCAUGCCGCGUGAGUGAUGACGGCCUUAGGGUUGUAAAGCUCUUUUCUCCGGGACGAUAAUGACGGUACCGGAGGAAUAAGCCCCGGCUAACUUCGUG
rnacentral:rRNA from 1 species